AUUAGAGUGGCAGAACAGGUUAAUGCGUAAGACCUAAGCCCUUAAUAAAGAGGUUCAAGUCCUCUCUCUAAUA
rnacentral:tRNA from 1 species